AUGAGCGCCAGCGCCACCACCUUGCGCGACGCCGCGGCCAUCCUCGGCGCCCUCUCCGCCGCCUCCGCCGCCUCCGCCGCCCAGCUCCACGCGCCCGCCCUAAAGCUCGGAUUUCUCCCCUCCUGUCUCCACCUCUGCUCGUCCUUCCUCAAAUCCUACGCCGCCUCCGGCCGCCUGGCCUCCGCGCGCCAGCUGUUCGACGAAACCCCCCGCCGGGACAUCCCUCUAUGGAACACCCUCGUCUCCGCCUGCGCGCGCUCCCGUCAACCCCACCACGCUCUGCUCGCUGUGUCCGCAAUGGUGGGCGAGGGCUCCCGUCCCAACAACCUCUCCGUCACGAGCCUCUUGUCUGCGUGCGCGCAACUGAGGAGUCUGGUGCACGGGAGAGAGCUCCACGGGUAUGCCGUGAGGAAUAUCCCUGUUCUUGAUUUGCGCGUUCUCAAUGCGCUGGUAAGCAUGUACGGGAGAUGCGGGCGGUUCGCUGAAGCAAGCACGGUGUUCGCCGGUAUGGGGAAUAAGAGCGUGGUUUCUUGGACGUGCAUGAUCAAUGCUUGCUGCGAGAACGGACGCCCAGCAGAGGCGCUGGAGGUGUUCAACGAGAUGAGGCUUGCCGUUGUGAAGGUCGAUGAGGUCACCCUGCUCGCAGUCAUCUCAGCGUGCACAAAAUUGGAUUGUACGUCGGAGUUGGGCGAGUGGGUGGAGGAAUAUGCAUGUGAGAAUGGCUUCUUGGAGAAGACCCGUGUCGCCAAUUCACUCAUCCAUAUGCAUGGUAAGAUGGGGAGGGUGAAGAAGUCAUGUGAGAUAUUUGACUCGAUGAAUGUGAGGACUGUGGUCUCAUGGACAGCCAUGAUACAGGCACUUGCUGUGCAUGGGCAUGGGGUGGCUGCCCUUGUUCGGUUUUCGCAGAUGCUCAGACAAGGUUUCUGGCCUGAUGAGGUUAUCUUCUUGAGCAUGAUCAAUGCUUGUGGCCACUCCAGGCUAUUGAGUGAAGGGCGCCAGUUGUUCAAGUCCAUGGUCGAAGACUAUCACAUCACACCAUGGAUGGAGCACUAUGGAAGCAUGGUGGACCUGUUGUGCAGAUCUGGCAUGUUGGACGAGGCGUUUGAGUUUGUCCUGGCCAUGCCUGUGAAGCCUGAUCCCGUAAUAUGGCGUGUAUUGACCGGAGCAUGCCGUGAUCAUGGAAACAUGAAUUUAGCGAGGAAGGUGAUGGAUCAUGUGAUCGACAUGGAGCCUGACCAUGAGGGGAAUUAUGUGCUGGCAUCAAACUUAUAUGCUGCCAAUGAGAACUGGGGACGUGUUGUGGAUGUAAGGGUGGAGAUGGGUGUGAGGAAAGAGACGUCAAGAUGCAGUACUGCCCUGUCUUACAUUGAAGUCAAUGGUGAAGAAAAUGCAGAAAGCUUCUCAACUGCACAGCACCAGUGA
rnacentral:rRNA from 1 species